GACGAACGCUGGCGGCGUGCUUAACACAUGCAAGUCGAACGGUAAGGCCCUUCGGGUACACGAGUGGCGAACGGGUGAGUAACACGUGGUGAUCUGCCCUGCACUUCGGGAUAAGCCUGGGAAACUGGGUCUAAUACCGGAUAGGACCAUGGACUUCACGGUUUGUGGUGGAAAGCUUUUGCGGUGUGGGAUGGGCCCGCGGCCUAUCAGCUUGUUGGUGGGGUAAUGGCCUACCAAGGCGACGACGGGUUAGCCGGCCUGAGAGGGUGUCCGGCCACACUGGGACUGAGAUACGGCCCAGACUCCUACGGGAGGCAGCAGUGGGGAAUAUUGCACAAUGGGCGCAAGCCUGAUGCAGCGACGCCGCGUGAGGGAUGACGGCCUUCGGUGUAACCUACUUUCUAAUAGGACGAAGCGCAAGUGACGGUACCUAUAGAAGUAAGCACCGGCCAACUAACGUGCCAGCAGCCGCGGUAA
rnacentral:rRNA from 1 species